GACAGAGGUGCCAAGCGUUAGGCGGAAUCACUGGGCUUAAAGCGUGUGUAGGCGGAAUUGUAAGUACCUUGUGAAAUCCCACAGCUCAACUGUGGAACUGCUCGGUAUACUGCUUUUCUUGAGCCACUUAGGGGCUGUCGGAACAAAUGGUGGAGCGGUGAAAUGCGUAGAUAUCGAGAGGAACACCAGUGGCGAAGGCGAGUCUCUGGACGACUCCUGACACUGAGGCACGAAAGCUAGGGGAGCAAACAGG
rnacentral:rRNA from 1 species